UCGGGUGACGAGCGGCGGACGGGUGAGUAAUGUCUGGGAAACUGCCUGAUGGAGGGGGAUAACUACUGGAAACGGUAGCUAAUACCGCAUAAUGUCGCAAGACCAAAGUGGGGGACCUUCGGGCCUCAUGCCAUCAGAUGUGCCCAGAUGGGAUUAGCUAGUAGGUGGGGUAACGGCUCACCUAGGCGACGAUCCCUAGCUGGUCUGAGAGGAUGACCAGCCACACUGGAACUGAGACACGGUCCAAACUCCUACGGGAGGCAGCAGUGGGGAAUAUUGCACAAUGGGCGCAAGCCUGAUGCAGCCAUGCCGCGUGUGUGAAAAAG
rnacentral:rRNA from 1 species